GAUAGGAUAGAGAAAGGUUGAGGUAUCAAGAUGAUACUCUCAAGGAAAUAUUAUUUAGAAAAGGAAGAAAGAACAAAUAAUAACAGAAGAUUCACUUGGCAUUCGAGAGGCCAAACUCUCCACUAAAUAACCACUCCACUUAUUCCCUACCUAAAAGCUUUUCAGCUUCCUUAUUUAUAAUAUCCAUAUCCUAACUACUUUCCUAAACAUGUGGAGUAACAAUAUUUUGAAAUUUCAAUCAGUCACGUGUUUUCCCCUCCUUCUAUAAGUAAAUUUAAAAGGAGUUAAAUUCUGAUUUGAUCUCUCCUGGUUUGUUACAAUACCCUCCCCAUGAAGAGCCACCUUGUCCUCAAGGUGGAAAGAUGGAAAGGCCAACUGCAGUUUGUCGGCCCGCUCCCAUGUACUUUCAAAUUCGGGAAGAUGCUGCCACUUGAUUAGCACUUCCAGGUGUCCUUGGUUGCUCAUACGACUGUCCAGAACUUGUUCGGGUUCCACUAGUAGUUCUCCUUCCUCAGUGAGAGACUCAGGCAGGCUUUGGGGUUCCACUGAAGAUCCCAAACUCUUCUUAAGUAGUGAAACAUGAAAAAUAGGAUGUAUCUUUGCAGAGGCUGGUAACCGAAGUUUAUAAGCUGCUGCACCAAUUUUUUCUAGUACUUCAUAUGGACCAUAAAAUCUGGCGCCGAGCUUCUGAUUUGGUCUGGUGGCAAGAGACCGCAUCCUGUAUGGUUGGAUCUUUAAAAACACGAAGUCUCCUACUUCAAAAGUGACAUCUCUCCUCUUCUUAUCAGCAGCUUGCUUCAUGCGAUUCUGGGCUCUAUUCAACUGAAAUUGUAACUCAUCGAGCAUCUGAUUGCGGUCUUCCAUUAGUAGUCUAACUUCUUCUACAGUAGAUUCCAGCCCCCCUCUUAACAAUGGAGGCGGCUCCCUCCCGUAUAAAGCCCGAAAAGGGGUCAUGCGAAUGGACCCGUGAUAAGUAGUAUUAUACCAGAAUUCGGCCCAAGGCAGCCAAGUGGACCACUGUUUUGGCUUAGAGCCUGUGAGGCAGCGGAGAUAGGUCUCUAAGCACUUGUUAACAGCCUCCGUUUGGCCAUCGGUCUGUGGAUGAUAUGCAGAGGACAUCUUCAAAGAGGUUCCAGCCUGUUUGAAUAUUCAGUGGGAAACCACACCUUAAAAGCUAGCUGUUAAGGGGGAAGAACCACUCUCCUUAUUUACAACAUCAAGCAUCCCAUACUACUCGAUGUGGGACUUUGAGCACCCCAUAAUACUCAAGUCCCUAACAAUACACCGUCCCUAGAGAGCCAACGUCCACGGCGGCUUCACUCUAUCGACACUGACCCAACGGUAGCCACUUUGCUACGGUCUAUCAGUAUUCGGUAUUCACCUUAAUCCAGCCUAUAGGUAGCCCUUUCCAUGGCGCCGACAACCACGCUCUGAUACCAUUGUUAAGUAUCUAAGGAAAGUGGGAAACCACACCUUAAAAGCUAGCUGUUAAGGGGGAAGAACCACUCUCCUUAUUUACAACAUCAAGCAUCCCAUACUACUCGAUGUGGGACUUUGAGCACCCCAUAAUACUCAAGUCCCUAACACAGAACUCCGUGAAGCAGGAAUCUGCAUGCGUGAAAAUCCAUUUUAUGUUGACACUGUUUGCAGGCACUUUGGAUAUCAGAUGGCGGUCUUCCUGAUAUAGGGCUAUAGGCGGCAUUAAUGAUGAAGAGACUUGUUUUCUUGAUGAGGGUGAGGGGAGAUGGGGGGAGGAUGAAGUAACUGCUGUUUAUGAUAUAAUAACCAGUUGUAUUCAUUUUAAUUUGCUAAACCUACUGUAUUGUCGGGGAAGCAUCUGCAAGUUUUGCAAAAAACAUAACAAUGAAUCAAGCAACCACUCUCCAUGACAUAAUGAUCAGAUUUCAAUUGUGGUUACUUAAAAGGGUUGCUGGGAAAGAUUGUACAAUAGUUUCUCCUUGCUAAUGCUGUGGUUAUUUUAUUAAUGAGCUCAUUUUGGUUUUUUGAAAUUGACUGCUGUGCUAUCUGGAUAUAGGUCCACCAACCUGUUCUUACAUAUCCUGGAGCUUACAGAAAAGUUACUGUGGAGUUAAAGAUACACCACCUAGCUGUGGAUGCCUGCCCUUUUAAAAAGCAACCAAGUUAAUGAAAUGGAAGGAGGCGCUUUAUUAGGAAUCGAUAAUGAAUUCAAUUCCGGAGCUAAUCCCACUAUUGAUCAGAGUGGCUUUGAUGAGGCUGCCUCAUGUGCACAUGCCUUUGGAGUCCUGAAACAAUUGAUUCAGCGGUGCCUUGCAGAUGCAGUUACAUCUCAAGACACAUGCUGACGCAAUAUUGCAACAUCUGUAUUGAUGGCUUUGCAGCCCUCAGUCAAAACUUCACGAUCCAGCUCUUCACCAGCUACUUCACAAGUUUUGGCGGUCAUUGCUAUUCAUGGAUCAGUAUAACUAUGGUGGAAUACCAGCAAAAUCAGAUGAAUCUCAAGUUGACAUUAUAUCAAGCUGGAAUAUUGCUGAGUACUUGCCAAAGAAAAUCCAGACAAGAUCAAUUCAUUGUCAUUGUUUCUCAAUUCUUGUAUAUUCCUUGGAGCUAUGCACAAAAGCAAGCAGGAAUCAGGGAAUCAAUGCUGAAUGGUGACUCCUGCACCCCAUCGAUUAACAUUGGAGCUGCGAAGGCUUUGGAAUCAGAAAUGAUAGAAUAUAUCAAAGAACAGAUCAGCUCUUUCUUCACGGACAAUCUUUUGCGAAUUCUUCGUUAUAUUGUUCUUCACAUGAAAAGGGCAAGCAAAUCAGAAGAUGACCCAAGUACAUCAUCUGGCCUUCCUCAAAUUGUGGGUGAUCAACAUAGAGGGGAUGCAUCCUAGGAAUUUAUCAAGCAUGUCUGUGCUGUGCUGGCCCUCGACCAAAGUGUGCAGGAUGAUGUGUUGAGACCUGGACUUGUGCCGUGACUCGGCUUUAUUAACUCAGGAGUGGCGUUGUGCGGUGCCUAUGUGGCCAGCCUUAUGACCGCGAUCAUACAUGCUGUUGGAUUAAAUAUAAAGCAACUCUUCAGAUGAAAAUGGCAAAAAUAUCUUCUUAUAAAGAUGCUUCGUUUAAAAGUGUGAUUUAUUUAUUUAGUACAUUUUAAACAAAGAUAACACU